rnacentral:rRNA from 1 species
UACGUAGGGGGCAAGCGUUGUCCGGAAUCAUUGGGCGUAAAGAGCUCGUAGGCGGUGUGUCACGUCGGCCGUGAAAACCUGCAGCUUAACUGUGGGCGUGCGGUCGAUACGGGCAUCACUGGAGUUCGGCAGGGGAGACUGGAAUUCCUGGUGUAGCGGUGAAAUGCGCAGAUAUCAGGAGGAACACCGGUGGCGAAGGCGGGUCUCUGGGCCGAUACUGACGCUGAGGAGCGAAAGCGUGGGGAGCAAACAGG